CUGACAUUGAUGUGCAGCUCAGCUCUGAGCUAUCUGACUCACUCAGGAAACUGAAGCCAGAAGGUAACAUUCUCCGAGACAGGUUCAAAAGCUUCCAGAAGAGAAAUAUGAUUGAGCCCCGGGAACGAGCCAAGUUCAAGCGCAAAUACAAAGUGAAGCUGGUGGAGAAGCGGGCUUUCCGCGAGAUUCAGUAAGUGAGGCUCACUGGCAUGUGGCUGACUGUCAUUCUGAGAGCUGUGGUCUACCUUGCCCAACAUAGCCUUCCUCCCUUUUGAAAGCUGCCAGUGUCAGGCCCUUCCCAAACCCCAUGACUGGUCAACCAGUGGGGGCCCAGGAAUCUAUAGUUAGAGGUAAAGAGGGGAUGUAGUCUCAAAUCAGAAGGGGUAUUAAGUGAGAAAGGCUGUGGGAUGCACCCCUCCACUCAUCCAUCUCAGCUCUACUCUCUGUCCUCAGGUUGUAGCUGUGCAGAUGUUGGAGCCUCUGCCCCUCAAUAAAGUGCUGUGACC
rnacentral:lncRNA from 1 species